CCCCUGGAUGCCUCCUCCGCCGUCUUCUCUGUGCACUGAAGGGGAAAGAGCCGCCAUGCAGCCAGCUCAGGCCGGGGUGUCCUUUGAGGAGGUGGCCGUGUACUUCACCCAGGGGGAGUGGACCCUGCUGCGCCCGGCCCAGAGGUCUCUCUACAAGGACGUCAUGCUGGAGAACUUUGGGAACGUGGCCUCUCUGGGACCUCUGAUUGCCAAACCAGACCUCAUAUCCCG